AAUUUUAGGACUUCAACCGGUCAUUUGUUGCACUUACUAUUACUAUGAUUUUUCUCUAGCUUUCAUUUAGCAUUAAGUUAUCCAGUGUAUAUUAUGGCACUAAACUGACCUUCCCAUCCGAGCAGCUGAAUUCCGAUGCUGCGUUGAAGAAAGACUCAUCAAACUUAGAUAGAUCGGUUUGUCUUCUGAAAACUCUAAACUCACCGAAAUUUAUAUUCCAUUUUCUUCCAUUAUAAGACCUAGCUUAGUGUUCAAUUCUUGCAGGAACCCAAGUGAAUAAUAGAGUCAAAGUGAGGAUGCAAUCUUCCUUAGAAAUGCAGAUUUUCAAGGAUCGAUGGACUGAUGCAGCAAAGAAUGACAGAUGUUGGAUCGACCCUUAUCCGUAAUUA